rnacentral:rRNA from 1 species
UGUAAGUAGGCGUGAAGCUCCGGCUCAACUGGAGAGGCCGUUCUAAACUGCAGAACUAGAGGAUGGUAGAGGAGGUGGAUUCCAGGUGUAGCGGUGGAAUGCGCAGAUAUCUGGAGGAACACCAGUGGCGAAGGCGGCCUCCUGGGCCAUUCCUGACACUCAGACGCGAAAGCUAGGGUAGCAAACGGGAUUAGAGACCCCGGUAGUCCUAGCCCUAAACGAUGCAGACUAGACGUCGGCGGUGUAAUAGCUGUCGGUGUCCAAGCUAACGCGAUAAGUCUGCCGCCUGGGGACUACGGCCGCAAGGUUAAAACUCAAAGGAAUUGACGGGUCCCCGCACAAGCAGCGGAGCGUGUGGUUUAAUUCGUUGCUACACGAAGAACCUUACCUGGGUUUGACAUAGCAGUGGUAGGAAAGUGAAAACGGACCGACUCGCAAGAGAGCUGUUACAGGUGUUGCAUGGCUGUCGUCAGCUCGUGUCGUGAGAUGUUCGGUUAAGUCCGCUAACGAGCGCAACCCGUGUUGUGUGUUACAAGUGUCACACAAUACCGCCGGUUUUAAGCCGGAGGAAGGUACGGAUGACGUCAAGUCAGCAUGACCUUUAUAUCCAGGGCUACACACACGCUACAAUGGACAGUACAACAGGUUGCCAAGCCGCGAGGCGGAGCCAAUCCCAUAAAGCUGUCCUCAGUUCAGAUUGUAGGCUGCAACUCGCCUGCAUGAAGUCGGAGUUGCUAGUAAACGCAGGUCAGCUAUACUGCGUUGAAUACGUUCUCGGGGAUUGUACACACCGCCCGU